GGGGGAUAUUGCACAAUGGAGGAAACUCUGAUGCAGCGACGCCGCGUGAGGGAAGAAGGUUUUCGGAUUGUAAACCUCUGUCUUCGGGGACGAAACAAAUGACGGUACUCGAGGAGGAAGCCACGGCUAACUACGUGCCAGCAGCCGCGGUAAUACGUAGGUGGCAAGCGUUGUCCGGAAUUACUGGGUGUAAAGGGAGCGCAGGCGGAACUGCAAGUUGGGUGUUUAAUCUACGGGCUCAACCCGUAUCAGCAUUCAAAACUGUGGUUCUUGAGUAAUGCAGAGGUAGGCGGAAUUCCCGGUGUAGCGGUGAAAUGCGUAGAUAUUGGGAGGAACACCAGUGGCGAAGGCGACUUUCUGGACUGUGUCUGACACUGAGGCGCGAAAGCCAGGGGAGCGAACG
rnacentral:rRNA from 1 species